rnacentral:rRNA from 1 species
UACAGAGGUCUCAAGCGUUGUUCGGAUUCAUUGGGCGUAAAGGGUGUGUAGGUGGCGCGCUAAGUCGGGUGUGAAAUUUCGGAGCUUAACUCCGAAACUGCAUUCGAUACUGGCGUGCUUGAGGACUGGAGAGGAGACUGGAAUUCAUGGUGUAGCAGUGAAAUGCGUAGAGAUCAUGAGGAAGACCAGUGGCGAAGGCGGUUCUCUGGGCCUGACCUGACGCUGAGGAGCGAAAGCGUGGGGAGCGAACAGG